CGGCGGCGGUGGAAGAGGUUGAGGAGGGGGAUUUCUUCCAGAAGGCGCUGCUGCCCCUCUCCUGGCUCUUCAGCAGGCGGCUCUGGCUCGGCCCCCAGUGCUCGAAGCUGCUGUCGGGCGGCAGGCAGCCUCCCCCCGCCGGGCCGCCCGCCGGCGAGGGGUGGCUGAACAGUUUCCAGCGGAGGCGCAGGAUGUGCUUCACGUCGAAGUCUUUCCUGCCGGAGCCGGACAUGUGCCUCUAACCAAGCCGCCCCCUCCCCUGCAUGUGACGCAGAUGUGCUCUGGGGCCAUCAGUGUGAAGACACAGAGGGAAAAAGAUGCUUCAGUCUUCCUCAUCUGAUCUGACAGUGUUAAACCCAAGGGAGGCUCCUUCACAACAGAGAAAUCUGCUUAGGAACAUCUGCCCACUUGGGACGGAUAUCGCAAAGUAUGCUGUGCAUCUGGGAUGUAAUUACAGAAUUAAAAGCUUCAUGGUGAAAUGUGGGAGAGGGGGAUAUAGGGGCAGAACUGAACUGCAUAUCAUCAGCUGGUAGCAUAUAAAGAUGUACAGAAUGCCUGCAAUCCACCUGUACCUUAGAAAGUAGCAUUUUAAAAGAAGAUGUAAACCUAGGAAAGUGAAAAAGAAGAUUUACCCCUGGGAAAGUGAUGAAAAAUAUAUAUUCUCAUCAAGGUACUCUGCUUUGGUCUGUUUUACCCAUGUACCUGUGAGCUAUCCAUUUUUUUAUUAUUAUUAUUUUAUUAUUUUUUUCUGAUAGCUCUCUGUGAAUUCAAGAAAAAAAUAGUUGAAAGAAUUCUUUUCCUCAAGCUGGAAUGUUUUAAUUCCUCAUUCGUAAAACGUUACAGCUUUAAAAAUCCUCCAGAGAAACACAGAAGUCAAACAUUAAUUAACAAUUUUAUUACUGUUUUAUUUAGUUUAUCACAGAAGCUGUGCUUCUAGUUAUAAACCAAUAUUAGGGUCUGUGUUUCAACUUUGAUUAAGGUCUGUAUUUAAGAGAACAAGAAAUUCAGGACACAAAGCCCUACUUUCAAGGGAAGAAAAAUUGCCACUGUGUAUUUUAAAUAUUGAUUUAUGCCACAACAGCUGGACUGCAAACUCUCUAGUGCCUCGGUUCUGCUCUCAGUACUCAGUGCUAAAAAAAAAAAAAAGACAAAAAUCCUUCUAAAGCAAACAGAAGAGAUGGUUCACUUUUAUAUAAGAACUGAUCUGAGUGAAUAUGUACUGCUUGGGAGAGCAGUAGGAAGAAAAGCAUAAAAAUUUUAAUCUAGAAUAGGGCGGAUGACUUUAAUCAUUUCAGAGACUUUAGAAAUGCACCUCUUAUGAAAAUGUAUGUGAAAUCAUCCAUGAGUCCUGGUUACUUAAUGCCUGGCUAUGAGCUCUAAAAGGUGGGAAUAUGAACAUGUAAAAUAGCUUUUAUCAGUGAAUACAUAGAUAGCUAUAUAUCUAAUAUCUUUUAAUUGAUUAGGGAAGUUCAGAAAUAUUCUGAGGAGGAUUGCAUAUUUUCCUUGCUUUAUUGUAAAUCUUAGACAUUUUAAAUUCUAAAUUAAUACUUUAGUUGAACAUUUGAUGUGAACAGUUGACAGAUUUUUAUUUAUUUUCAUCUAAACUGCAUUGCAUAGAUUUUGUCUUUAUUUCUGUUACUUAGAUAUUAUAAAUAGCAAUUCAUUGUAACAUUUUUUUUUUCUAUGUAUACUUCAGAGGUCACUCAAUGAAUAUAUUAAAGUAUCAUCCAACAAAGUGAUUGAGUUUUUUAUCAGCUUUCUGGUACAAACUAGAAAAAAAUUAUGAAGAAAAAAGUAAAAAAUAUUUUAGGUUGUUAUUCAGACUUUGUUAUUUCAAUUAUGUCAGUAACUGAAAUUGUCUUUGAUUAUUAUUGUUUUUAAUAAUUAAAUUCUCAACUCUUUGGUGUAUUCUUUGUAGGUUUUGACAUUGUAACAUUACUUGAUUCUUUCAUGUUCUGGUACAUUUUUUGAGGCUAAGAGAUACAUUAAUUUGGUACGUAUACCUGCUGUUUUACAAGCAUCUUACAGUUUAUUUCAUGUGUGAAGAUGUAUGAACACUGUCAUAAAAAGAAAUCUGGAAAGACCUUUAAUCUUCUUAUUCAGAUCACAUUCAUAAGUAUAAAGAAAGUAUUUUGUCAAUGUACAGUAAACAGGAGCUAGACCAUGAAGAAACUACAACAGAGAAGUAUCUGUUGUCACUGUAUAUAAUACAUGAAUAAAUCGGUUUCCUUAACCUGAAGUAAAAAAGAUGAAACUG